rnacentral:rRNA from 1 species
GACAGAGGUGCCAAGCGUUAGGCGGAAUCACUGGGCUUAAAGCGUGUGUAGGCGGAAUUGUAAGUACCUUGUGAAAUCCCAUGGCUCAACCGUGGAACUGCAUUGGAAACUGCUGGACUUGAGUACCGCAGAGGUGAAGGGAAUUCCCGGUGUAAGGGUGAAAUCUGUAGAUAUCGGGAGGAACACCAGUGGCGAAAGCGCUUCACUGGGCGGUUGCUGACACUGAGGGACGAAAGCAAGGGAGCAAACAGG